AGCGAACGCUGGCGGCAGGCCUAACACAUGCAAGUCGAACGAACUCUUCGGAGUUAGUGGCGGACGGGUGAGUAACACGUGGGAACGUGCCUUUAGGUUCGGAAUAACUCAGGGAAACUUGUGCUAAUACCGAAUGUGCCCUUCGGGGGAAAGAUUUAUCGCCUUUAGAGCGGCCCGCGUCUGAUUAGCUAGUUGGUGAGGUAAAGGCUCACCAAGGCGACGAUCAGUAGCUGGUCUGAGAGGAUGAUCAGCCACAUUGGGACUGAGACACGGCCCAAACUCCUACGGGAGGCAGCAGUGGGGAAUCUUGCGCAAUGGGCGAAAGCCUGACGCAGCCAUGCCGCGUGAAUGAUGAAGGUCUUAGGAUUGUAAAUUUCUUUCACCGGGGACGAUAAUGACGGUACCCGGAGAAGAAGCCCCGGCUAACUUCGU
rnacentral:rRNA from 1 species